GUUGAGAAGAGUUAGACUUUUUGGUUGUGCUGUGAAAGACAGGGAGUCAGUGCUGCAAGGAGGUGUCCAUGAGAAAUCACUGAGCAGUCUCUAGAGAGGACCUGCACUGCCUGUUACCAGCCUUGAAGACUUUGUUCAGGAUCUGCACAGCCCACUGGAGAUCGCGUGGAGAUAUUGCUUGCUGCUGGGUGAUCUCCUGAUCUCCUCAUGGUAUCUGAGCACAGCUUUGAUAUAAUUGGAAAUCUGCCCCUGCACAGUCCCCUCCAGAUGGAGGCAAAGAAAAAGAUAUAAAGAGAUGGUGGUGUGACUGACCAACACCAUGCUGCUGUGGAAAACUGCUCGGACAAGGUGGGUGCAGGCAAUUGGUUCAUGUAGCUCAGGGAAGAAAGGAGUGACAACAGCUAUUUCAAAGAAAGCUGAUUUUAGGUCAGCACAAGGAGGACUGGACCAUGGGCUUUGGUUUAGAUCAGCUGUCUGCGCCUGUUGAGAGGAUCAGCUGGUUGUGUAAUUGAUUAUUUUAUUUAUUUCUCAAGCUAAUGAGGAAUGUGAGUGUUUUCCUGAGCUAGCCUGACUGGCAUGGAGGAAGGGUGCAGGUUGCUCAGUAGAGUAUAAAAAUUCAGGCAACAAAAUGAACUUAGAUAGAAACAGGCUUGGGCUGGAUUCAAUAUAAAUAUUCCCUCCUGGUGACUGGGGAUACCCAGUGCCAUGAUAACAAACACAUAAGGACCAGUAAUAGGAAUCAUAUUUGCAUUGUGAUCCUACUAUAUGUUGAAUUGCUAUGUUCUGCUUGUAUUGUGAUUUCACUGCUCUGUCAUAUCCCUCUGCUAAAUCAAAAUCCAGUGUAGCAUGAAAUAUCUUCAAAUAAGUAAGUUUAGCAUUAAACAUUAAACCCUUCUCAUGUGAAAUGUCUAAGAGAAGCUGCUCAGAGAGUAAUGAAUUCUGACAGGGAAUACAGGAUAUAAAGGGAUUUUAUUUUCAAAGUCAAUUUUUCAGCUCCUAUUGACACAUAUCAGGAUAAGGGAAGGGAGGGGGAGUCAGGGAAAUUGCCAGUGUGUUAUGUCCAGCUGUUAUUUCUUAAUGUGACUUCAUGUUGAAUUUAAUCUUACACAAAAAGCAUUUUUUAUUCAAGCAAAAGAAUAGUUCUCUAAAAAUAAAUUGGGUUUCUGAUAAUUGAGGAUCAGCUUCUUUCUAUAUAAACAUGCUUAAUUUGCCACUAGGUGCCCCCACAACCAUAGAAAUGUUAAUUGUACAAAACUGAUACAAUAAAAAAUGUUUUGAAGAAAGUGUAGGCUGUUAGAAGUGUCUGACAAGUAUUAUUUUGCUGUACCCUCUAUCAUGGAUCUGAUAAUAUAAUAAAAUUGUUGGGUUUUACAUGUCAUAUAGCUUUAAAGUGUUUUUUAAAUGCAGUUAUGCUAAGUGUUCCUUCCCUAUCCCCCAUUCUACAUCUUGAAAUAAUCCAUUAUCACCAUAUUUCCAUUUUUUUUCCAAAUAAAAAUGGAGUAGUGUGUGUA